UACGUAAGGGGCGAGCGUUGUUCGGAUUGACUGGGUGUAAAGGGUCUGUAGGUGGUUCUGUAAGUCGGGCGUGAAAUCCGGGAGCUUAACUCCCGAACUGCGCUCGAUACUGCGGGACUUGAGUUUUGGAGAGGCAAGCGGAAUUGACGGUGUAGCGGUGAAAUGCGUAGAGAUGCGGAGGAACACCGAUGGCGAAGGCAGCCCCCUGGGAGUAACACUGACGCUCAUGCACGAAAGCGUGGGGA
rnacentral:rRNA from 1 species